rnacentral:rRNA from 1 species
GAGAAUUUUUCACAAUGGGCGAAAGCCUGAUGGAGCGACGCCGCGUGGGGGAUGAAUGGCUUCGGCCCGUAAACCCCUGUCAUUCGCGAGCAAACGUUAUUAUUUAAAAGAUGAUAGCCUGAUAGUAGCGAAAGAGGAAGGGACGGCUAACUCUGUGCCAGCAGCCGCGGUAAUACAGAGGUCCCAAGCGUUGUUCGGAUUUACUGGGCGUAAAGGGUGCGUAGGUGGUGGGGUAAGUCGGAUGUGAAAUCUCCGAGCUCAACUCGGAAAGUGCAUUGGAGACUACCCUGCUCGAGGGUUGGAGGGGGGACUGGAAUACUUGGUGUAGCAGUGAAAUGCGUAGAUAUCAAGUGGAACACCAGUGGCGAAGGCGAGUCCCUGGACAACUCCUGACACUGAGGCACGAAAGCUAGGGGAGCAAACAG